AACGAACGCUGGCGGCAUGCCUAACACAUGCAAGUCGAACGAGACCUUCGGGUCUAGUGGCGCACGGGUGCGUAACGCGUGGGAACCUGCCCUUAGGUUCGGAAUAACUCCCCGAAAGGGGUGCUAAUACCGGAUAAUGUCUUCGGACCAAAGAUUUAUCGCCUUUAGAUGGGCCCGCGUUGGAUUAGCUAGUUGGUAGGGUAAAAGCCUACCAAGGCGACGAUCCAUAGCUGGUCUGAGAGGAUGAUCAGCCACACUGGGACUGAGACACGGCCCAGACUCCUACGGGAGGCAGCAGUGGGGAAUAUUGGACAAUGGGCGAAAGUCUGAUCCAGCAAUGCCGCGUGAGUGAUGAAGGCCUUAGGGUUGUAAAGCUCUUUUACCCGGGAUGAUAAUGACAGUACCGGGAGAAUAAGCUCCGGCUAACUCCGUG
rnacentral:rRNA from 1 species